rnacentral:rRNA from 1 species
AGAGUUUGAUUCUGGCUCAGGACGAACGCUGGCGGCGCGCCUAACACAUGCAAGUCGAACGAAGUCAAGAGGAGCUUGCUCUUUUUGACUUAGUGGCGAACGGGUGAGUAACGCGUGAGGAACCUGCCUCAAAGAGGGGGACAACAGUUGGAAACGACUGCUAAUACCGCAUAAGCCCACAGCUCCGCAUGGAGCAGAGGGAAAAGGAGCAAUCCGCUUUGAGAUGGCCUCGCGUCCGAUUAGCUAGUUGGUGAGGUAACGGCCCACCAAGGCGACGAUCGGUAGCCGGACUGAGAGGUUGAUCGGCCACAUUGGGACUGAGACACGGCCCAG